rnacentral:rRNA from 1 species
CCUACGGGAGGCAGCAGUGAGGAAUAUUGGUCAAUGGACGCAAGUCUGAACCAGCCAUGCCGCGUGCAGGAAGACGGCUCUAUGAGUUGUAAACUGCUUUUGUACGAGGGUAAACGCAGAUACGCGUAUCUGUCUGAAAGUAUCGUACGAAUAAGGAUCGGCUAACUCCGUGCCAGCAGCCGCGGUAAUACGGAGGAUUCAAGCGUUAUCCGGAUUUAUUGGGUUUAAAGGGUGCGUAGGCGGUCGGAUAAGUUAGAGGUGAAAUCCCGAGGCUCAACUUCGGAAUUGCCUCUGAUACUGUUCGGCUGGAGAGUAGUUGCGGUAGGCGGAAUGUAUGGUGUAGCGGUGAAAUGCUUAGAGAGCAUACAGAACACCGAUUGCGAAGGCAGCUUACCAAGCUACUUCUGACGUUGAGGCACGAAAGCGUGGGGAGCAAACAGGAUUAGAUACCCCUGUAGUC